rnacentral:rRNA from 1 species
CAGCCGCCGCGGUAAUACAGAGGGUGCGAGCGUUAAUCGGAUUUACUGGGCGUAAAGCGUGCGUAGGCGGCUAAUUGAGUCGGAUGUGAAAUCCACGAGCUUAACUUGGGAAUUGCAUUCGAUACUGGUUAGCUAGAGUGUGGGAGAGGAUGGUAGAAUUCCAGGUGUAGCGGUGAAAUGCGUAGAGAUCUGGAGGAAUACCGAUGGCGAAGGCAGCCAUCUGGCCUAACACUGACGCUGAGGUACGAAAGCAUGGGGAGCAAACAGGAUUAGAUACCCCCGUAGUCCCUGUCUCUUAUAU